GCGCCCGUAGCUCAGUGGAUAGAGCGCCUGACUACGAAUCAGGAGGCCGUAGGUUCAAAUCCUGCCGGGCGCACCA
rnacentral:tRNA from 2 species